rnacentral:rRNA from 1 species
GUGAACGCUGGCGGUAGGCCUAACACAUGCAAGUCGAACGGCAGCACAGUAAGCGCUUGCUCUUACGGGUGGCGAGUGGCGGACGGGUGAGGAAUACAUCGGAAUCUACUUUUUCGUGGGGGAUAACGUAGGGAAACUUACGCUAAUACCGCAUACGACCUACGGGUGGAAGCAGGGGAUCUUCGGACCUUGCGCGAUUGAAUGAGCCGAUGUCGGAUUAGCUAGUUGGCGGGGUAAAGGCCCACCAAGGCGACGAUCCGUAGCUGGUCUGAGAGGAUGAUCAGCCACACUGGAACUGAGACACGGUCCAGACUCCUACGGGAGGCAGCAGUGGGGAAUAUUGGACAAUGGGCGCAAGCCUGAUCCAGCCAUACCGCGUGGGUGAAGAAGGCCUUCGGGUUGUAAAGCCCUUUUGUUGGGAAAGAAAAGCAGCAGGUUAAUACCCCGCUGUUCUGACGGUACCCAAAGAAUAAGCACCGGCUAACUUCGUG